CAAUAGCGUAUAUUUAAGUUGUUGCAGUUAAAAAGCUCGUAGUUGGAUUUCGGAUGGGACUUGCCGGUCCGUCGUUUCGAUGUGCACUGGCCAGUCCUAUCUUGUUGUCGGGGACUAGCUCCUGGGCUUCACUGUCCGGGACUAGGAGCUGACGAGGUUACUUUGAGUAAAUUAGAGUGUUCAAAGCAAGCCUACGCUCUGAAUACAUUAGCGUGGAAUAACACGAUAGGACUCUGGCUUAUCUUGUUGGUCUGUGAGACCAGAGUAAUGAUUAAGAGGGACAGUCGGGGGCAUUCGUAUUUCAUUGUCAGAGGUGAAAUUCUUGGAUUUAUGAAAGACGAACUUCUGCGAAAGCAUUUGUCAAGGAUGUUUUCAUUAA
rnacentral:rRNA from 1 species